AGAGUUUGAUCAUGGCUCAGAAUGAACGCUGGCGGCGUGCUUAACACAUGCAAGUCGAACGAGAAAGGCUUUACUUUCGGGUAAGCCGAGUAAAGUGGCGUACGGGUGAGUAACGCGUAGGCAACCCACCCUUGUGUUCGGGAUAACACUUCGAAAGGGGUGCUAAUACCGGAUGUGACGGUUAGACGGGAGUUUAGCUGUCAAAGGGGGCCUCUGUACAUACAAGCUUCCGCACGAGGAGGGGCCUGCGUCCUAUCAGCUGGUUGGUAGGGUAACGGCCUACCAAGGCGACGACGGGUAGCUGGUCUGAGAGGAUGAUCAGCCACACUGGCACUGGAACACGGACCAGACUCCUACGGGAGGCAGCAGUGAGGAAUAUUGGUCAAUGGGCGGAAGCCUGAACCAGCCAUCCCGCGUGAAGGAAGACGGCCCUACGGGUUGUAAACUUCUUUUCUGCAGGAAUAAAGUGGUCUACGUGUAGGCAUUUGCAGGUACUGCAGGAAUAAGCAUCGGCUAACUCCGUGCCAGCAGCCGCGGUAAUACGGAGGAUGCGAGCGUUAUCCGGAUUCAUUGGGUUUAAAGGGUACGUAGGCGGCCUAAUAAGUCAGUGGUGAAAAUCUGUCGCUUAACGAUAGAAGUGCCAAUGAUACUGUAAGGCUUGAGUACAGAUGAGGUAAGCGGAAUGUGUAGUGUAGCGGUGAAAUGCAUAGAUAUUACACAGAACCCCGAUUGCGAAGGCAGCUUACUAAGUUGAGACUGACGCUGAUGUACGAAAGCGUGGGGAUCGAACAGGAUUAGAUACCCUGGUAGUCCACGCCGUAAACGAUGCUCACUGGCUGUAUGCGAUAUAUAGUAUGCGGCUAAGCGAAAGCGGUAAGUGAGCCACCUGGGGAGUACGCCGGCAACGGUGAAACUCAAAGGAAUUGACGGGGGCCCGCACAAGCGGAGGAACAUGUGGUUUAAUUCGAUGAUACGCGAGGAACCUUACCUGGGCUUAAAUGGGGACUGACGCAAGUAGAAAUGCUUGUUUCUUCGGACAGUCUUCAAGGUGCUGCAUGGUUGUCGUCAGCUCGUGCCGUGAGGUGUCGGGUUAAGUCCCAUAACGAGCGCAACCCUUACCGUUAGUUACCAACGGGUCAAGCCGGGGACUCUAACGGGACUGCCACCGUAAGGUGCGAGGAAGGGGGGGAUGACGUCAAAUCAGCACGGCCCUUAUGUCCAGGGCUACACACGUGUUACAAUGGCCGGUACAAAGGGGAGCUACUCCGCAAGGAGAUGCCAAUCCGGAAAAGCCGGUCCCAGUUCGGAUCGAAGUCUGCAACCCGACUUCGUGAAGCUGGAUUCGCUAGUAAUCGCGCAUCAGCCAUGGCGCGGUGAAUACGUUCCCGGGCCUUGUACACACCGCCCGUCAAACCAUGGGAGUUGGGGGUACCUGAAGACUGUCACCAAGAGGAACGGUUUAGGGUAAAACCAAUGACUGGGGUUAAGUCGUAACAAGGUA
rnacentral:rRNA from 1 species